GGGCCCGCACAAGCGGUGGAGUAUGUGGUUUAAUUCGAUGCAACGCGAAGAACCUUACCAGGGUUUGACAUCCUGCGAAUCUCUUGGAAACGAGAGAGUGCCUUCGGGAACGCAGUGACAGGUGGUGCAUGGCUGUCGUCAGCUCGUGUCGUGAGAUGUUGGGUUAAGUCCCGCAACGAGCGCAACCCACGUCUUUAGUUGCCAGCAUUUAGUUGGGCACUCUAGAGAGACUGCCGGUGAUAAACCGGAGGAAGGUGGGGACCGACGUCAAGUCAUCAUGCCCCUUAUGUCUAGGGCUGCACGCAUGCUACAAUGGCUGGUACAGAGGGCUGCGAACCCCCGCGAGGGCAAG
rnacentral:rRNA from 1 species